rnacentral:rRNA from 1 species
CUGAUGUUAGCGGCGGACGGGUGAGUAACACGUGGGUAACCUGCCUGUAAGACUGGGAUAACUCCGGGAAACCGGGGCUAAUACCGGAUGGUUGUUUGAACCGCAUGGUUCAGACAUAAAAGGUGGCUUCGGCUACCACUUACAGAUGGACCCGCGGCGCAUUAGCUAGUUGGUGAGGUAACGGCUCACCAAGGCGACGAUGCGUAGCCGACCUGAGAGGGUGAUCGGCCACACUGGGACUGAGACACGGCCCAGACUCCUACGGGAGGCAGCAGUAGGGAAUCUUCCGCAAUGGACGAAAGUCUGACGGAGCAACGCCGCGUGAGUGAUGAAGGUUUUCGGAUCGUAAAGCUCUGUUGUUAGGGAAGAACAAGUGCCGUUCAAAUAGGGCGGCACCUUGACGGUACCUAACCAGAAAGCCACGGCUAACUACGUGCCAGCAGCCGCGGUAAUACGUAGGUGGCAAGCGUUGUCCGGAAUUAUUGGGCGUAAAGGGCUCGCAGGCGGUUUCUUAAGUCUGAUGUGAAAGCCCCCGGCUCAACCGGGGAGGGUCAUUGGAAACUGGGGAACUUGAGUGCAGAAGAGGAGAGUGGAAUUCCACGUGUAGCGGUGAAAUGCGUAGAGAUGUGGAGGAACACCAGUGGCGAAGGCGACUCUCUGGUCUGUAACUGACGCUGAGGAGCGAAAGCGUGGGGAGCGAACAGGAUUAGAUACCCUGGUAGUCCACGCCGUAAACGAUGAGUGCUAAGUGUUAGGGGGUUUCCGCCCCUUAGUGCUGCAGCUAACGCAUUAAGCACUCCGCCUGGGGAGUACGGUCGCAAGACUGAAACUCAAAGGAAUUGACGGGGGCCCGCACAAGCGGUGGAGCAUGUGGUUUAAUUCGAAGCAACGCGAAGAACCUUACCAGGUCUUGACAUCCUCUGACAAUCCUAGAGAUAGGACGUCCCCUUCGGGGGCAGAGUGACAGGUGGUGCAUGGUUGUCGUCAGCUCGUGUCGUGAGAUGUUGGGUUAAGUCCCGCAACGAGCGCAACCCUUGAUCUUAGUUGCCAGCAUUCAGUUGGGCACUCUAAGGUGACUGCCGGUGACAAACCGGAGGAAGGUGGGGAUGACGUCAAAUCAUCAUGCCCCUUAUGACCUGGGCUACACACGUGCUACAAUGGGACAGAACAAAGGGCAGCGAAACCGCGAGGUUAAGCCAAUCCCACAAAUCUGUUCUCAGUUCGGAUCGCAGUCUGCAACUCGACUGCGUGAAGCUGGAAUCGCUAGUA